rnacentral:rRNA from 1 species
UACGUAGGGUCCGAGCGUUGUCCGGAAUUAUUGGGCGUAAAGGGCUCGUAGGCGGUUUGUCGCGUCGGGAGUGAAAACACGGGGCUUAACCCCGUGCCUGCUUCCGAUACGGGCAGACUAGAGGUAUGCAGGGGAGAACGGAAUUCCUGGUGUAGCGGUGAAAUGCGCAGAUAUCAGGAGGAACACCGGUGGCGAAGGCGGUUCUCUGGGCAUUACCUGACGCUGAGGUGCGAAAGCGUGGGGAGCAAACAGG